AGAUGUGAGGGUGAUCUGACUGUAACAUCUUUCACCUCACUGAUUACCAGGGUUGAUUCAGCUGAUCCAGCUAGCUAGGUCUGUGUCCCAUUUCUCCCUCACCACUCCACGUGUGUCGCUCUCAAAGCUGUGCGCUCUGUGAAGAGCAUAGCCUUCCCCAAAUAGACAGACCGGUCUUCAGCUGAGGGUGUAGCUGCACUCCCCUGCUAGAACCACCAAACAAGUUCUCAAGGUCCAUUUGUAGGAGAAUAUAGGGUAGUCAAGCUUCCAAUACUCCAGACACAUCCAAAUGAUGUGCUGCAUGUGGCAGCCUGCCUUU
rnacentral:snRNA from 1 species